rnacentral:rRNA from 1 species
UACGGAGGGUGCAAGCGUUAAUCGGAAUUACUGGGCGUAAAGCGCACGCAGGCGGUUUGUUAAGUCAGAUGUGAAAUCCCCGAGCUUAACUUGGGAACUGCAUUUGAAACUGGCAAGCUAGAGUCUUGUAGAGGGGGGUAGAAUUCCAGGUGUAGCGGUGAAAUGCGUAGAGAUCUGGAGGAAUACCGGUGGCGAAGGCGGCCCCCUGGACAAAGACUUACGCUCAGGUGCGAAAGCGUGGGGAGCAAACAGG